CGGAAGGAUCAUUAAUGAGAGGGGGGCUCUGCGCCCCAGGGGUUCGCCCCGCACCUUUCCACCCUUUGUGUAUUUUCCACUGUUGCUUUGGCGGGCCCCAGGGUUCACCCCCUGGCGCUGGCCCCCGAAAAGGGCUCGCGAGCGCCCGCCAGAGGCCCAUCCAAAAUCAUUUUAUAUCGAUGUCGUCUGAGUUGGCAAAUAAUCAAUCAAAACUUUCAACAACGGAUCUCUUGGUUCUGGCAUCGAUGAAGAACGCAGCGAAAUGCGAUAAGUAAUGUGAAUUGCAGAAUUCAGUGAAUCAUCAAAUCUUUGAACGCACAUUGCGCCCUUUGGUAUUCCGAAGGGCAUGCCUGUUCGAGCGUCAUUACACCCCUCAAGCCCGGCUUGGUAUUGGGCGUUCGCCCCCCCGCUUCGGGGGAGCGUGCCCGAAAUUCAGUGGCGGUCCAGGUGGACUUCAAGCGUAGUAAACUUUUCGUUCGCUUUCGAAGCUUCGCCUGUGGCCCCGCCAGCGAACUUGUUAAUCUCCAAUAAUUGACCUCGGAUCAGGUAGGGAUACCCGCUGAACU
rnacentral:rRNA from 1 species